UACGUAGGGUGCAAGCGUUUGUCCGGAAUUAUUGGGCGUAAAGAGCUCGUAGGCGGUCUGUUGCGUCGGCUGUGAAAACCCGGGGCUCAACUCCGGGCCUGCAGCCGAUACGGGCAGACUAGAGUUCGGCAGGGGAGACUGGAAUUCCUGGUGUAGCGGUGAAAUGCGCAGAUAUCAGGAGGAACACCGGUGGCGAAGGCGGGUCUCUGGGCAUUAACUGACGCUGAGGAGCGAAAGCAUGGGGAGCGAACAGG
rnacentral:rRNA from 1 species